rnacentral:lncRNA from 1 species
CAGCAGAUCAUCCGAUUCUUCUGUGAAAUUUGCCUCAGGAACAAUGCAGACCUCCUGCGCGCCUCUCUCUCCUUGAUGGCUCCACGUGGGCCUGGGGCCUGGUGGCCCUCUGCCCCGCUAGGGCGCUUUCAACUAGAAGCCAGCGGCCAACGACUUUACUCUUGUACUGGUGUUUGCAAACUCCUGUCUCCAUUUGAAAAUCAAAUCUUAAAACUUUCCACUGGAAAAGUUUAUGGAUGCCUUAUGAAGUGCCUCUUGCUGGCUGGACUUUGCCUUGACAUGUGCCACCCCACUCCCAAGACCCCUCCAAUAUAGAGAGCUGAGGAACUGUAAACAGCAGGCAUCUAUCCCUGCUCAAGUCGUCAAGGUAUUUGCUGUAGUUAUCUGUUUUAGCAGACAGGCUUUUUCCUGAAAUUAAAAUGGUGACAUGUAAACAGUGAUGUUCUGUAUACACAGGGAGUCUAUGUGUCCCACACUGCCCAAGACAGCCCCAGUUUAGACCCAGCUAGGGCCAUUCGGUUACCUGGCCACCCUGGUAAUGGGGUAUUGCUAACAGAUGACCACUCCCAGACGCCUGCAGAUCCUGGAGGGACCACCCCCCCAGAGGAAGAAUGGCAGAGAGAUUUCAGUGUAUUUUGAUUUAGGAAGCCCAGGAGGGGCGGUGGUGUGCCAAGCUAACCCCCAGACCCCCACAGGCCCUCACUGCCAC